rnacentral:tRNA from 2 species
GUAGUCGUGGCCGAGUGGUUAAGGCGAUGGACUAAAAAUACAUUGGGGUCUCGCCGUGCAGGUUCGAAUCCUGCUGAUUACG